rnacentral:lncRNA from 1 species
CUGGCUCCUCCCCAGCUCCAGCUGUGACUCAGUUCUCCACUGCAAAGGGCGAGUCACGGAAAUUUUUAUUUCAUGCAUCUUAGUGGGCGCAGAGACUGUGUUGGCACGGCAAAGAGAUAACCAGAGGGGCCUCCGUCGCCGUCCACUUUCGGCCUCCCACACCAGUGAAGAUUGCCCCCAGGCUGGAUGCAGGCGACAGGGAGGCCCUGGAACAUUCUGCUUACAGAUCGCGAACUGUCAAGGCCCGAGGCCCCGCUUUGUGACUUGGACAGGCUGCUCAUUGUGGGCUGGCGGGCGGGGCAUCCUCUGGUGUUUUCCUAAUAGUCAUCUCCAGGGUUUAGCCUCAGGCUUCGUUUCCUGCUUCUUUAUUUCGUCCUCUUGGGUAGCAUUAUCUGGUUUCUUUUCUCUAGUUUUCUGCCCUCUCUUUCUUUGGGUUUCACUGGUAAAUCUCAGCCGCCCCGGCCCCAGCACCCAAGCUUGGAGGAUAAGCAGGACACCUUCACCUCUUUUAAAAUCCUUAAAAGCGUUAGACUAGGCACUGGUCUUUGCUUUGAUAGAGGUUACUUGGGCUCCUGCCUGACUUUUUUUGCUUGUUUGUUUGUUUCUUGUGUUCUGUGGAACUGCGGAGAGUAAAGAUUUGAAAUUGCUGCUGCAGAGAGGGAGAGAGUGGGCAUGGAGGAUCCAGUUAAUGAUGUGGAUUGUGAAUUUCUAAUGUCAGCAGUUCGAAACAUCCCAUGCCUUAGCCGGGCGCGGUGGCUCAUGCUUGUAAUCCCACCACUUUGGGAGGCCGAGGGGGGAGGAUCACGUGAGGCAGGGAGUUCCAGACCAGCCUGGGCAACAUGGCAAAACCCCGUCUCUACUAAAAAUACAAAAAUUAGCAGGGCGUUGUGACACACGCCUGUAAUCCCAGCUACUCGGGAGGGCUGAGGCAGAAGAAUCGUUUGAACCUGGGAGGCAGAGAAUGCAGUAAACCAAGAUUGCUCCACUGCACUACAGCCUGGAGGACAGAGCAAGACUCCAUCUCAAAAAAAAAAGAAAAGAAAAAAGAAAAUCCCGUGCCUUGUUUGUAGCAAUACUUGGCAAACCGUCUCACAAAUGCAAGUAAUCCAUUAAUCCUGAUGAUCUCUCUCCCUCUUCCUCUUCUCACUGAACCUGUGAGGGCCACUUGUUGACAACUGUGGAAGAAACUUGUGUCACUCUGGAAAUAGUUACAUGGGCCUGAAGUGCCACAGACGUGGGCAGCUAAUGCCAGAAAUCUGGUGAUGCUAAGCUGAUGGCUGAUUUCUACAAAUACAAGGCCAUAAGCCUGACCCCUGCUGCUUAAUACAAGAGAAAAUAAGCUCUCUUGGGAAUCUGGUGGGAAUCACCAUCUCUUCCAGUGAAACUACAUUUACCCAGAGAGAUCCAUCAGGGAUGUACCAGUUAAAAUGCUUUCAGACUGAGGGAACAAAAACUCAAUUCAAACAGUACUUAGUAACAGGAAACUCAAUUCAAACAUAAUUGAAAAAGAGGAUUGGUAGAGUGGUGAUUAAGUGUGAGUCAUUCACAGCUCCAAAUCUGGUUUUCUACAGUUCUCUCCACUGCUCAACUAUGAGCCCCAUCCCGCACCUCUCACACUCCCCCAUGUCCCCCACACACCCCCUACCCAUGUGUAUGUGCCCACAUACGCACAGGUGUCAGCUUCAUUCCAGGCCUCACAACUCUGCACAAGAUCUUAAAAAAAAAAGGGGACCAUCUUAAAAUUUAGGACAUUUAUUUCCCAGAAGCCUCCCAGAAUUUUUACACUUGCCUUCCACUGGGUUACAUGGCUUUUCCAAAUCCAAAUUCUAUGGCUACAAAAAUGACAUGCAUUGAUGGGUUUAGGCCUAUGUUCCCUAAACAAUCACUGACAAGAAAUCUAAUAAUUGGCUUUUGACAAGUUAGAUCAAUUCUGAAGUAGAGUAGAUUCAGCUUCCCCAGGAGUAUUAGGGUGGUAUGGGAGGAAAAGUGGAUAUCUGUACAAAAAUCUGGGUACUACUGGGAAUGGAUAUUAAUAUUACAGGAAGCCUAUGAAAGAAUCACCAGCUUUGAUGAGUGGGGCUAAGGAAAUUCAGUGCAUUUGGAAGUAAGAAGUACUUGCAUAGAUACUUGGAUAGAUUUGGAUAGAUUUUUUUUUUUUUUCCUGAGACCAAGUCUCGCUCUGUCACCCAGGCUGGAGUGCAAACGCGCGAUCUUGGCUCACUGCAACCUCCGCCUCCCAGGUUCAAGCAAUUCCCCUGCCUCAGCCUCCUGAGUAGCUGGGAUUACAGGCACGCGUGACCACGCCCAGCUAAUUUUUGUAAUUUUAGUAGAGGCAGGAUUUCACCAUGUUGGUCAGGCUGGUCUUGAACUCCUGACCCCAUGAUCCGCCCACCUUGGCCUCCCAAAGUGCUGGGAUUACAGGCGUGAGCCACCGCGCCCAGCAUAGACAGAUAUUUUUUUAAAACCUGGUAAUGAAGUGGCAUUGUUGUCUGGAGUAAAUACCCGAGAUUGGUUGUGUCACAGCUAUGGAAAACUAGGACAUGGACACACAAAGAGGUUCAGAGCAGAAGUUGAAUAGGCAAAAGAAAAAGAAGAGCUCUCUGCAGCAGAGAGGGGUCCCAGAGAAAUGGGUUGCUGGUUCCACCGUGGAAUGCAAGGGAUUUUAUAGAUGACCUUAAGGAGGCAGUGUGUCAUUUACAUAGGGCACAAAAGAUUGGUUGGACCAGGUGUGUCAUUUGCAUACAGCUCAAAAAACUGGUUAGGGCUAGGUAUGCCAUUUGUAUAGGCACAAAAAGAUGGCCACCCCCACCCUAAUCUUUUAUUUUGCAGAUGGGUUCUCUACCUGGCCAGUGCCAUGUUGCCUGUUUCUUUACUGUAACUGUGGUGACAAAGAAAAGGGAAGAUGGAGCCUCCAUGUUGAACAUACCUGGCCCCCAGCACUAACUCCCUCUCUGGAUAUCUGGAACAAGGAGGACCUUAAACUUAACAAUAAAGCCAAUGAUGGUUCUACCAGUCUCCCCAAAGCCUCAAGUUUAAAAGCCAUAUGAACUGGCUGAUAGUGGAAAAUGGAAGCCAUGAGGAAAUCAGAUUAGAGUACUACCUGGUGAAGCCUGGAGGACCUACCAAGAAAAGCAAACUUGGAUCUUUGCAAGGUUAGAAGAACGAAUGGGAUCCAAGAAAAAGACUGGUCAUAUUCAACGGCUAAGAGCGUUGGAGAAGGCCUGUGGAGUCUCAGCAGGUCAGGUCCAUGACUCAUGAGUAGACACCUGUGUUUCUACUGCCUGGUGCCAUAAUCAUAAACAAGGUGAGCAGGGGCAAAUAAGAUCCUAGUUCAGUACUAUUCACUAUAAAUAUAAUGUAUGUAAUUUAAAAUUUUCUAGUAGCCAUAUUUUAAAAUUUUUUUAAUGAAAUUAACUUUUAAAAGAUAUUUAGUUUAACUCAAUAUAUCCAAAAUAUUGCCAUUUUAACAUGUAAUCAUAUUUGUUAGGUAUUAAUUAGAUAUUUUACAUUCUUUUAGGUCUCUGAAAUCUGGUAUAUAUUUUAUAUUUAUAGAACAUCUCAAUUUGCAUAUUAAAUGUUCAUUAGAAAUGAUGGCUCUAUGUUUAGACUUUGAUAAAAGAAAAACUUCAGCCAAAUUAAGUUUAAAGGAGUUUAAUUGAGAAUGAAUGAUUCGCGAAUUGGGCAGGCGCCAGAAUCACAGCAGAUUCACAGAGACUCCAGGGGUGCCUCGUGGUCUGAACAAAUUUAUAGACCAAAAAGGUAAAGUGACGUACAGGAAUCAGAAGUGAAGUACAGAACGAGUGAAAUUGGUUACACUUGGCAUUUGCCUUAUUUGAAUGCAGUUUGAACAUUCAGUAGUCUAUCAGCG